GGUUUCCUGAAACUUCUCAUCUUCUCCAGAUGCAGAAUGGCAUACGUGAUUCAUUGAAGAGGCAAAGUGAACAUUGAAAUGCUUCCAUGGAGAAGAAAAGGCAAGCCAAUCUUUGCCACCUGCGUAGUAAGGCUUGUGUCUGCCUGUCAUCUGAAAAGAUGAAUGACUUCACAAUAAAAAUAUGAGACAUGCCAUUUCUGGGAAGAGAUUUAAAUUGUUAGGUGUCAACAAUGAAUAUGAAGAUGGAGUAUAAUGCAGAGGAUUCAAGAAGUAUUUGGCAGCCUUUCUUUUCUACAUGACAUUGUCUGAGAUUGGUAAGGAGUGUCUUAAAUCAGCAUGAGGCAAUCGACAUCACUUUGUGGGCAAUUUUGCAUUUGAAAGCAUCUCAUUGGGGUUGUUUGCCUUCAAAUGGGAGGGCCCAGGAGUGUUUAUUGGCUGAAAAC